ACCAUAUACAGCAGACUGUUUGUAGAACAGCCCACGACACAUCAUGUACUCUAUCACAUUUAUUAUCUCCUGGGCUCUUCUAAUAGGUGGAAAUAAUGCACAAUCCAUAAACCAAACAGCAGCACCUCUGACUGUCUUCCCAGGAGACUCUGUAUUAUUGGAAUGUACAUAUAAAGUUUCUGGAUCACCUUAUCUGUUUUGGGGAAAGUACCACACAGAGUGUAAACCAGACAUCAGGACCACUGACUGUCCGCUCCGGAGAUUCUGUAUUAUUGGAAUGUACAUAUAAAGUUUCCACCUCACCUUAUCUGUUUUGGUAUGUUCAGUAUAAUGGUAAAGGCCCUUCAGCGCUCAUUAAUGAUCUGACACAGAGAACGUACAAUGGAUUUUCCAUCAUAGAGGAUAAAAGCACAUCAUCCUUCCACCUGAAGAAAGACCAAGUUACACUGAGUGACUGUGGUGUGUAUUUCUGUGUAGUGAGUGACACAGUGACUAGGCUGCACAGCUCACCUGUCACAUAACUCUCUGUGUGUCCCAUACUUCUUCUUCUACAUUGUUAUACUGUUCUAGAAACACAGAAAGAAGAUUCAAGAUAUUUCUUAUUCACUAGAUUUACAUAUAUUAUAUUCUGAGAACAUCCAUAUGCAGAGGAAACACACGCUGGAUCCUUGUUACUCCAACAAUGCAGAAUUAAAGUUUUUCUCUAGGGUAAUAGUAGUACUGUAUGUGUUAGACUGGUGCCAGGAGAAAGUAGUAGUAUGCCUGCUUGACAUUAGGUGAUAUGGCUUGACAGUGUUAGUAGUGAAUACUACAGUUAUACUUCAUAAAUAAUAUUAACUAACUUUAAUUAUCAUAUAUAUCAAUAAACUCUAAUUUACUAUAUAAAAUACAAUUAACACAGAUGCAUAUACAAAACAAAAGUACUUAUCAAGUUCAAUAAAAACAUCUAUUAUCUCAACUUUGAAAUAUCAAAAAUAAAUCUGCUUUCUUGCAGCAGACUAACUGUAAAUACACUGUAUGUAUCAAUUAAAUAAUGCCAUUUGAUUGUAGGAGCUGCACUAAUAUUAGUAAUAGUCCCAGUGAGUAGGAUUAAGAUGCACUCAGCCAUUUAGAAGUAGUGUCAUCAUCACAUCAGUGUGUAUUUUGUACAAGGGGGUCGAGAACAGAGAUAUACUGUAUGUACCUUGUGAAGUGCUUGAUCUGCAUUUGCAAAAUCAUUCCCUUAAGUAUUAGCCAGUUUUGCAUGCCCUCUCCCAAUCCAACUCUCUAAGUAGAAGGAGUCAUAAUUGCAAAAUGUGAAGUCCAGAACACAAACACAAAAUGAUGAAGUCAAGAAAACAUUAUUUGGAUGAAACGCAUUCAGGCAGUUUUCCUGUUUGGGACACUUCCUUUUCUCUGACUGAGUUGUUCCAUUUGUUCAGAUAAGCUCUAUUUCCACAAAACUGUUGUGCACUAUUUUAAAU